rnacentral:lncRNA from 1 species
UCACCUCUCUCUCUCCUCCCUCCCAACCGUCCCCCAUCUCUCUCUCUCCAUCUUCAAACCUUCAAACUCUUGUUCUUCAUGUUCAUCACUAUUUCUAACAACCUUCAAGUGGUGAGAAGAUUCAAGGGUGAUCUCAAGGUGUUCUCUAGUGAUUCAAGCUUCCCAUCAUCUUCACUAGAAUUUCUACCCUAGCUUUGUGCUAGUAGUUGUCGUGUAGCGGACAGGGUUUGAGAUUCGAUUCAAGACGCACUACUGUGAGUACAUAGACCCCUCUUUUACUGUGUUCCAAUGUUUUGGGGAGCUGUUGCUUAGGAUGUUCGUGACACACUAGGGCGGACCUAUGCCUUAGAGACUAAAAUAAAGAUGGAACCAGUUUAAUUAUGUGAUGAACACUUUGUUUCAGUUAAUUUAAGACUAUGUAACCUUUGCUUGAUGAAUAAAACAUAACUU